AAGUAGUGAAUAUUAUUUAGUCAGCUCCGUCAAAAGUGGCACGUCCAACAAAAUGAAUACCCCAGUUUCCUCGUAGGUUAUUGGACCAAGUGUCAACAAGACCGUUUGCCACAUUAAAUGGAAAUUAAUUUUACCCCAGAUAAACAAGAAUCGGAGGCUAACAAAUUUCCAAUUUGGUAUUCGGUUAAGUUAUGUUAACAAAAGGCGCGCAACCAAAGUUGGAUAAUAAAUAAGAUGGGAAAACAAUAAUAAAAGAGCGAAGUGUGGCACGUGGGUAUUUUUGGAGGCCCCCAUUUGAAGGAGCCACCGUUCGAUGGGGGAACUUUGACUCCACUCGGCGACACUUUAUGACCAGCGAAUGUGCGUGACUGGCCGCAAAGUAUAAAUAAAAACAUUUUCCCAGCGUCUUUGGGGAGAAGAUAUCGCGCCGCCUCCGCUGGAGAAAUCGCGGAACAAAUGGAUGGAUGAGUCGACGGAUGGAUGGAAGACCUCUGCUGGCACGUACUCCGGCAUCCCGGGUGCAGCUCGUAAAUUUGGCCAAACCGUAUUGGCUGCUAAUUGAUGAUUGCAGUGGGGGUCACAGGAAAACGAGAGGUGAGAAGCUAAGGAAAUAGUGGGGUUUAGGGUAUUUGGUGAUUUUAUUAGGACAAAUUAGUAUAAACUUGCAAAAAUAAUUAAGUUUCGAAAUGCAGAACAGAGGAGUAUGACAAGUUCUUUAAUAGAAAUGCAUUAU
ensembl:ncRNA lncRNA:CR46237 long non-coding RNA:CR46237